AAUGAACGCUGGCGGCAUGCCUAACACAUGCAAGUCGAACGCGACCUUCGGGACUAUAUGUACCCAGUUGCGGAAUGCGUCGUAACCUGUCCUUAGGUUCGUAAUGACUCCCCGCAAGGGUUCCUAAUACCGGAUAAUGUCCGCCAACCAAAGAAUUAUAGCGUUUGGAUGGGCCCGCGUUGAUUUAGCUGCUUGGUAGGGUAUAGGCCUACCAAUGAGAGCUUCCAUGGCUGGUCGGAGAGUGUGAGUAGCCACACUGGGACUGAGACAAGGCCCAAACUUCUACGGGAGGCAGCAGUAGGAAAUAUUGGAAAAUGGGCGAAAGCCUGAUCAAGCAAUGCCGCGUGAGUAAUGAAGGCCUUAGGGUUGUAAAGCUCUUUUACGAGGGAUGAUAAUGACAUUACCGGGAGAAUAAGCUCCGGCUAACUCCGUG
rnacentral:rRNA from 1 species